UACCAGCACCCCGAGUGGUCGGGACGUUUAUUGGGCCUAAAGCAUCCGUAGCCGGUUCUACAAGUCUUCCGUUAAAUCCACGCUGCUUAACAGAUGGGCUGCGGAAGAUACUAUGGAGCUAGGAGGCGGGAGAGGCAAGCGGUACUCGAUGGGUAGGGGUAAAAUCCGUUGAUCCAUUGAAGACCACCAGUGGCGAAGGCG
rnacentral:rRNA from 1 species